GAUGAAGAACGUAGUGAAAUGCGAUAAGUAGUGUGAAUUGCAGAAUUCAGUGAAUCAUCGAAUCUUUGAACGCACAUUGCGCCCGCCAGCAUUCUGGCGGGCAUGCCUGUUCGAGCGUCAUUUCAACCCUCGAGCCCCCCCGGGGGCCUCGGUGUUGGGGGACGGCACACCAGCCGCCCCCGAAAUGCAGUGGCGACCCCGCCGCAGCCUCCCCUGCGUAGUAGCACACACCUCGCACCGGAGCGCGGAGGCGGUCACGCCGUAAAACGCCCAACUUUCUUAGAGUUGACCUCGGAUCAGGUAGGAAUACCCGCUGAACUUAAGCAUAUCAAUAAGCGGAGGA
rnacentral:misc_RNA from 1 species